AACGUAGGACACAAGCGUUAUCCGGAGUUACUGGGCGUAAAGGGCGCGUAGGCGGCCACCGCAAGUCGACUGUGAAAUCUCCGGGCUUAACUCGGAAAGGUCAGCCGAUACUGCGGGGCUAGAGUGCAGAAGGGGCAACUGGAAUUCUCGGUGUAGCGGUGAAAUGCGUAGAUAUCGAGAGGAACACCUGCGGCGAAGGCGGGUUGCUGGGCUGACACUGACGCUGAGGCGCGAAAGCUAGGGGAGCGAACGGG
rnacentral:rRNA from 1 species